UAAAUAAAAUAUUAAUAUCUACUUGUGUAUCCGCAUGGUUUGGGUGUGAGUGAGUGUGACAAACAAAUGAAAUGAAACUCAACUGGCGGAGAGGGAGAUGCAACUUUCACGCUUGGUUCCUGUGUUAAGUAUUUGAACAACAAAGCUUGUCCCCUCGGGGACAUCCGAUAAAAUUGGAACGAUACAGAGAAGAUUAGCAUGGCCCCUGCGCAAGGAUGACACGCACAAAUCGAGAAAUGGUCCAAAUUUUUUUUUACAUUUUUUUUUUCUUACGAUUUCUCCGUUCAGAUCUGUAUCUUUUUCUGCAUUUCGUUUUUCCCUUUUGGUUCUCGUCACAUAUGAUAGUUUAAGCUUACACAUCAUCCAUUUUUAGUCUUCGAUAUAACUUUAGGUUUGGGUAUAUUGACAUGAUUUAUCAAAAUUAAUUGAUUAAGAAAUCUCUGUUCUAAUUGUCUGGUAUCUGCAACAGUAAGUGUUGCCGUUUACGAUUUUUAUAAAGCUUCUAAAUUUACUGGAAAUUUCUUCCUUAAUUUAUAUCUUAUGCAUCUAGAUUAGGUAAUAGAGUUAGGUUAUGUAACUCUUGUUGAUGCAUUACGGAAAUAUUUGCAUAUUUUGAUCAUGAAUUGACGUUUUUCUUGACUCAUUUAAUACUAUGUAUGUUUCAUUUAGUAAUUAAUAAUUUAGUUCACAAAUUUUGUUAUUGUGAAAGUUUCCUAUAAUGUGCUUGUUUCUCUUUUUGCUAUGCUUACUUGUGUGAAAGAUUUCAUUGAUUGAAAUUAUUCUGUUAUAUAUAUGCUUCUUUAUGGUAUUUAGAUGAUAUGAUGUGUCCUACACUUGAGGGUGGAAAGUUAUUCCUUUUAUUCUUGGUUACAUUACACCUAACAUCAUGCAGCCAUGAUUUUACACUUCUGUAUCCAAGCAUGCACUUUUUUAUAAGCAUGUUAAUAAGUUGGUAGUUAUGUUAGCUUCCACGAUAUAAACCCUGUAUCUCAUGUUGAUGGAUUAUCUCAGACAAAAACAAGCAUUUUUGGACUUUUGGAUCAUCUGUCAGUAAUAAUGCUUCUAUGGAAGAUGGUAUGUAUAAUAAGGGCAUCUACAAUUCUACAUUGAUAGUAUGUUCACUUCUACUUUACUCAGUUAAUUUGAAUGAUAAUGUUGCAUGGUAGGUGUUGUAUGAAAUAUUAAUUCAAGCACGAGUAGUAGACUUCUACGUUCCUAUAAAAGAAAACAGAAACCAAACUGUUCUGCUUUUAUAACAUGAAACUGAGGAUAUUACAGGCUAUGCACAUAUCACACAUUAUGUCUGAUUUUUCUAUGGUCUUGUAAUACACUCUACAACAGAACACUUAACAUAUGCAUUCCACUUGUUAUGUUUCAAUCUUGAGUUGCAAUUGUUUGCAAAAUUAAAUUGGCUUUGUUGAUUGGAAGUUCAUAGCCAAUAUGAAGCAUCAUAACUUUGGCUAUAGCUAGGUAUGUGGCAUACAACUUUCAACUUUUUGGAUACAUCCCAAUAUCCAACUACUUUUUGAGACAUCAUGUGCCAUAAGUUACGAAUCCGUUUGAAACUAUCAGGCCAUAAACAAAAAUAAUGGAUCAAAUAUUGUGCCAGGCCACUAGUGCUAGACGUCAGAACCAAGGCAAGAAUUAACAGAACUUUGAAUAGUUUUUUUUUCUUCCUCACCAUCAAAACCAAGGCAAGGUUUAUUUUGUCAAAGUAAUUUAAGAACUGAACAUGUUGCAGAGAGAAAGCAGGUAGGUAUGAAUCAUGAUUGUAUGUUUAUAUCAUUUUAUUACCUUAUAUUGUUUUGUUGUGCUAUUGUUAAUUCUUGGAUAGGAAGUCUCCUGACCCAUUAUGCGUUCAAUUUACAAGCUGAUAUGGAAAAUAUCUUCAACAUAAUGCUUUAUUGUUUUUGAAAAUUGGUAAGGGAUCUUAUUCUUUUUACAGCUCUAACGUUCUUUACCGCUCCAUUAAAAUUAGAACAACACAGUUGGGUGCUCAAUUAUCCGGUGCAUGACAUAGGGAUAACAGUGAUCUCAUUUUAACUCUUACUCACAUUCAAGUCUCAUGAUUUCUCCAUGGUAAAUUGAAGAAAAGCACAGACAAGAACUAAUUAAACAACAUCAGGCUGUAUAAUGAAUUCACAGCAAGUAUUAAUUAAUAAGCCCUUGUUUGUUUUGUUUAUUGUGUUUUUAUUUCUUUCAUUUUCUAUGAUCCUGCAUAAGUUAUUGUAGUCAGUGUAGGUAUUCCCCAGGAGAUGUGUGGAGUUAAGAGUGGUCAAUAUUUCAUUGAUGCUUCAGUCAAUAAUAGCACUGUUUUUGGGCCAAAAAUUCCACUCAGCUGCUACAGGAUUUAGAGAUUUUGUGCAUAUGAGCACAACUUUCUCAACAAAGCAAUCAUGGAGAGGGGACAAAGAGUCUUGAUGCCUUCUGGGUUGAGUAGUUGAUGAGAGGAUUUAUUGGAGGCAAAGAGAAUGUGGGGAGCUUCCUCUAAUUGCAACGAUAGGAGAUUGGAAGAGGCAUGGUUGUAGAUAAUAGGAGAAUGGAAAAACCAUUUCCAUUGGAUUAGAUAACUAGCUGCUAGAUGGGGAGAAGGUUCAAUGCCUCUUGGACUUUGUCAACAAGAAGUUAGAGAGUUUGUUUUAGGAAAAUCAGAGAGCAUGAGAUAGCAAUAAGUAGAGAAGUUUUUCCCCAAUGAAACUAGAAUAUGGGCUAUUGUGAAAUGUGAAUACCAGUUAGAGAUACAUAAGGGAAGGAUAAGUUGAUAACUUGAUAUAAACUUGUACCAAAUCAAGAGGUUACAUAGCACAGUCUGACUAUCAUAAGGCUAGAGAGAAGAGGAAUCAAGUAAUCAAGUAAUCAAGGUCUAUCUAAUAUCUGUGUCAAUAUCACACAAUUUGUGAACAUUGAUAUGAAGAAUUGAAGUCUCAGGCAACAUCAAUAUGGAGACGUUCUUAUAAUCUGUUGCCAAUAAAAGGAAACUUACUAAGAAGAAAGCUAAUAAGUGAUGAUCUCUACCCCAAACACGAAUCAAUAUGGAGCAUAUGUUUUUCAAUAUUCAUGCAUUGAUUGGCCCAACUUGGCAUGCCUUAGAGAUUCAACCAAGUCCACCAAGUGAAAAGUUAAUGUUAGUUGAAUUUAAAAGUUACUUUGGAUUAGUGAAUUUGGGCCCUGUGAUUUUCUUAGUGAAUAAUUUGUCGCUUCGUUUGUAAGCAACCUCAACUAUGUUAUAUCUGCAAUUACAAUCAGAAUAUGCUUCUUGCAAGCAAAA